AACAGGAUUAGAUACCCUGGUAGUCCACGCCGUAAACGAUGUCGACUUGGAGGUUGUGCCCUUGAGGCGUGGCUUCCGGAGCUAACGCGUUAAGUCGACCGCCUGGGGAGUACGGCCGCAAGGUUAAAACUCAAAUGAAUUGACGGGGGCCCGCACAAGCGGUGGAGCAUGUGGUUUAAUUCGAUGCAACGCGAAGAACCUUACCUGGUCUUGACAUCCACGGAAGUUUUCAGUGAUGAGAAUGUGCCUUCGGGAACCGUGAGACAGGUGCUGCAUGGCUGUCGUCAGCUCGUGUUGUGAAAUGUUGGGUUAAGUCCCGCAACGAGCGCAACCCUUAUCCUUUGUUGCCAGCGGUCCGGCCGGGAACUCAAAGGAGACCGCCAGUGAUAAACUGGAGGAAGGUGGGGAUGACGUCAAGUCAUCAUGGCCCUUACGACCAGGGCUACACACGUGCUACAAUGGCGCAUACAAAGAGAAGCGACCUCGCGAGAGCAAGCGGACCUCAUAAAGUGCGUCGUAGUCCGGAUUGGAGUCUGCAACUCGACUCCAUGAAGUCGGAAUCGCUAGUAAUCGUGGAUCAGAAUGCCACGGUGAAUACGUUCCCGGGCCUUGUACACACCGCCCGUCACACCAUGGGAGUGGGUUGCAAAAGAAGUAGGUAGCUUAACCUUCGGGAGGGCGCUUACCACUUUGUGAUUCAUGACUGGGGUGAAGUCGUAACAAGGUAACC
rnacentral:rRNA from 1 species